rnacentral:lncRNA from 1 species
CAAUCGACAUUCAAUAAUUAUUAAUUUAAAUACAUACUAAUUUUAUAUUAAGUAAAAAAAACCAGUUUAAUUCUUAUUCAAUUUGUGUUUGUGACAAUUCAUUUUACAACUAAUCAAAUAAUAUGUGUUGUAACGAUCAAAAUCAAACCGUCGUUAAUCACAUUCACAGUUUACGUUUAUUAAAGU